AGAGUUUGAUCAUGGCUCAGGGUGAACGCUGGCGGCGUGCUUGACACAUGCAAGUCGAACGGUAUGUGGCAACACAUAGAGUGGCGAACGGGUGAGUAACACGUGGGAACGUAUCUUUUGCAGGGGGAUAACUGACCGAAAGGACAGCUAAUACCGCAUAAGUCCGGGAGGAGAAAGGUGCAACAGCAUCGGCAGAAGAGCGGCCCGCGGUCCAUCAGCUAGUUGGUGAGGUAAGGGCUUACCAAGGCGACGACGGAUAGCCGGCGUGAGAGCGUGGCCGGCCACAAGGACACUGAGAUACGGGUCCUACUCCUACGGGAGGCAGCAGUGCGGAAUUUUAGAUAAUGGAGGGAACUCUGAUCUAGCGACGCCGCGUGCAGGAAGAAGGUCUUCGGAUUGUAAACUGCUGUGGUAAGGGAAAAAUGCUAUGUAGAGUGGAAAGCUACAUAGAGGGAUGGUACCUUACUAGAAAGCCCCGGCUAACUACGUGCCAGCAGCCGCGGUAAUACGUAGGGGGCGAGCGUUACCCGGAAUCACUGGGCGUAAAGGGAGCGUAGGUGGCCUAACAUGUCAACUGUGAAAACCCGGAGCUCAACUCCGGACUUGCAGUUGAAACUGGUAGGCUUGAGGACGGUAGAGGAAGACGGAACUGCCAGUGUAGGGGUAAAAUCCUUAGAUAUUGGCAGGAACGCCGGUGACGAAGGUGGUUUUCUGGGCCGGUUCUGACACUGAUGCUCGAAAGCCAGGGGAGCGAACGGGAUUAGAUACCCCGGUAGUCCUGGCCCUAAACGAUGUUCACUAGGUGUGGGGAGCGGAAAGCUCUCCGUGCUAAAGCUAACGCGAUAAGUGAACCGCCUGGGGAGUACGCCCGCGAGGGUGAAACUCAAAUGAAUUGACGG
rnacentral:rRNA from 1 species